GUCUCUUCGGGAUAUCCAAUAAAAUUAUAAUGUUACAUAGAAAAUUAGCAUAGCUGUUGUACAAAAAAUGACACAUAAAUUGAGAAAUAGUUCGAAUUUUU